GUGGCCGAGGAAACAAUGACACUGACGAUGGCUCUUCAUGGGUUUCUCUGAUGCACCUGUCCACUUCAGUCCGUCUGUAAGGCAGGAGCUGCCACGUCACUGAGUGCUGCCACUUGCAGUAGCACAGUGAGGCCUUCAUCAGGGGCUGGCGGUCUUUGUGGAUAAGAGGUGCACGGGAACCUCGGCAGCACUUUGAGGUGCCCAUCAGCAGCCAUCCACGCUGAGCGUCUCCCUGCGCUACAUUCACCAGAAAGGCCAAACACAGUUCUCAUUGGUGAAGAGGAUUCCAAACCCCAGUGCCCUUGUGGUGGUCUGUUUCUGUUUGAGUUGGGAUUCAAGGUAUUUCUGAGCUUGUGAAGGAGCAGGGAGGUGGAAGAAGGCUGGUGCUGAGCAGACGGUGAGCCCUGUUGGGCCCGUGCCUGAACUCCACCUAGAAAUCCCUCCUCUAGAGCCAGGCUCUGCCACCUGCAUAUCUUGGGCGAUGGCUGCAGCCAGGCUGCUGCCGUGGAUGAGCAGAGCAGAGCGGGGUUGAAGCCUCAUUGUCCACGAUGUCUUGCCACUGAUGCUUGGGGAAGCUUGGAGAGGAGGAAAAGGCCACUUCACAUUCACCACAGGUGCGAGGUUUCUGUCUUUUGUGCAAGCUGCUGAUUCCCAUGGGGAGAGAAGACUGGAAAGUGCUUGCUCACCAGUGAAGUUACGUGUGUCCUGCAUGCGGCCUUAAGCAGGAUUUGGGAGGAAGCAGCUCUGAUGCUGUGAUUCUGAAAACAGAUUCUCACGUAUGAUGGCCCCGGAGAAGCUGCAUCUUAAUAAAAUAGUGCACUGGAUGGAUACAUGUAAUAUGCCGGAUAGGUGCAUUUUUUGAUUGACUACUCAUCAUAGAGGGAAAGGCCGUGAGAAGACACAAAGGAAUAAGGAAAUUUGCACGACUCUCGUGUCACCUGUGCUGAUGACAGCAGUAAGUGGUGAUGGAUGCUGCCCCCCCUGCACUUCCUACCCUGUCAGAUCCCAGCUGUGGCUCCAGCUUCACCAUGGCUGCCCUGGGCCCAGGCUAGGUUGAGAGAAAACUGCGAUCCUCUCCUGCUUUCAGCAUCCACAGCAGUGCUGCCCCUGUUGAUCUGUGACCCAUG